GAAUCCCGUACGUGGCCGCUGGCCUUCGCCAUGUAAAGCCCCUUCGACGAGUCGAGUUGUUUGGGAAUGCAGCUCUAAAUGGGAGGUAAAUUUCUUCUAAAGCUAAAUAUUGGCCAGAGACCGAUAGCGCACAAGUAGAGUGAUCGAAAGAUGAAAAGCACUUUGGAAAGAGAGUCAAAAAGCACGUGAAAUUGUUGAAAGGGAAGCGCUUGCAGCCAGACUUGCUCGUAGUUGCUCAACUAGGCUUCUGCCUGGUGCACUCUUCUGCGAGCAGGCCAGCAUCAGUUCAGGCGGUCGGAUAAAGGUCUUGGGAAUGUGGCUCUCUUCGGGGAGUGUUAUAGCCCAGGGCGCAAUGCGACCAGCCUGGACUGAGGUCCGCGCAUCUGCUAGGAUGCUGGCGUAAUGGCUGUAAGCGGCCCGUCUUGAAACACGGACCAAGGAGUCUAACAUCUAUGCGAGUGUUUGGGUGUCAAGCCCGAGCGCGCAAUGAAAGUGAACGGAGGUGGGAACCCGCAAGGGCGCACCAUCGACCGAUCCUGAUGUCUUCGGAUGGAUUUGAGUAAGAGCAUAGCUGUUGGGACCCGAAAGAUGGUGAACUAUGCCUGAAUAGGGUGAAGCCAGAGGAAACUCUGGUGGAGGCUCGCAGCGGUUCUGACGUGCAAAUCGAUCGUCAAAUUUGGGCAUAGGGGCGAAAGACUAAUCGAACUAUCUAGUAGCUGGUUCCUGCCGAAGUUUCCCUCAGGAUAGCAGUAACGUUUUCAGUUUUAUGAGGUAAAGCGAAUGAUUAGAGGCCUGGGGGUUGAAACAACCUUCACCUAUUCUCAAACUUUAAAUAUGUAAGAAGUCCUUGUUAC
rnacentral:rRNA from 1 species